rnacentral:sRNA from 1 species
AGACUCGAUUCCCUCUCUUCUUCCUCCUCAAGGGAAAGCUGCCCACUUCUAGCUGCCCUGCCCUCCCCUUUAAAGGGCGACUUGCCCAGCGCCAGACCGCGGCUCCAGCCCUCUCCAGCCUCUGGCUCAGCGGGCUCAUCAAUCCGUCCGCGCCUUGCAGCUCCUCCAGAGGGACGCGCCCCGAGAUGGAGAGCAAAGCCCUGAUCGCGCUGGCCCUGGCCGUGUGGCUCCAGAGUCUGACCGCCUCCCGCGGAGGGGUGGCCGCCGCCGACCAAAGAAGAGAUUUUAUCGACAUCGAAAGUAAAUUUGCCCUAAGGACCCCUGAAGACACAGCUGAGGACACUUGCCACCUCAUUCCUGGAGUAACAGAAUCCGUGGCUACCUGUCACUUCAAUCACAGCAGCAAAACCUUCAUGGUGAUCCACGGCUGGACGGUGUAUUGGGCUGAUGUAUCUAUGACAAGUGGUAGGUGGGUAUUUUAAGAAAGCUUGUGUCAUCAUCUUCAGGUAACAGGAAUGUAUGAGAGUUGGGUGCCAAAACUUGUGGCCGCCCUGUACAAGAGAGAA